CACGUAGUUAGCCGGGGCUUCUUAAUCAGGUACCGUCAUUUUCUUCCCUGCUGAUAGAGCUUUACAUACCGAAAUACUUCUUCACUCACGCGGCGUCGCUGCAUCAGGGUUUCCCCCAUUGUGCAAUAUUCCCCACUGCUGCCUCCCGUAGGAGUUUGGGCCGUGUCUCAGUCCCAAUGUGGCCGUUCACCCUCUCAGGCCGGCUACUGAUCGUCGCCUUGGUGAGCCAUUACCCCACCAACAAGCUAAUCAGACGCGGAACCAUCGUAUACCACCAGAGUUUUUCACACCACUUCAUGCGAAGCUGUGCGCUUAUGCGGUAUUAGCACCUAUUUCUAAGUGUUAUCCCCCAGUAUACGGCAGGUUUUCCACGCGUUACUCACCCGUCCGCCACUAACUCAUAAAUCACUAGGUUUCAAUAUGAGUCCGUUCGACUUGCAUGUGUUAAGCACGCCGCCAGCGUUCAUCCUGAGCCAGGAUCAAACUCU
rnacentral:rRNA from 1 species